rnacentral:rRNA from 1 species
CCUACGGGUGGCAGCAGUGGGGGAUAUUGCACAAUGGGGGAAAGCCUGAUGCAGCGACGCCGCGUGAGUGAAGACGCUCUUCGGAUUGUAAACCUCUGUCUUUGGGGAAGAAAAUGACGGUACCCAAAGAGGAAGCUCCGGCUAACUACGUGCCAGCAGCCGCGGUAAUACGUAGGGGGCAAGCGUUAGCCGGAAUUACUGGGUGAAAAGGGGGGGAAGGCGGGAUGGCAAGUAGAAGGUGAAAUCCAUGGGCCCAACCCGUGGCUGCGUCUUAAACGGCCGUUCUUGAGUGAAGGAGAGGCAGGCGGAAUUCCUAGUGUAGCGGUGAAAUGCGUAGAUAUUAGGAGGAACACCAGUGGCGAAGGCGGCCUGCUGGGCUUUAACUGACGCUGAGGCUCGAAAGCGUGGGGAGCAAACAGGAUUAGAUACCCGAGUAGUC